GCAUGAAAAGCCGUAAACAAUUUUAAAAGAAAUAAAUAAAUAAAUAGAUCAAAACACUGUUUGAUUGUUGCGACAUCGUUGUAAUCUUCAUGAUUGUGGUUGUGCUUCUUUUUCAUUCUUGUUGUGUUUUGGAU
rnacentral:ribozyme from 1 species